AAUGAACGCUGGCGGCAUGCCUAACACAUGCAAGUCGAACGAAGGCUUCGGCCUUAGUGGCGCACGGGUGCGUAACGCGUGGGAAUCUGCCCUCAGGUUCGGAAUAACAGCGAGAAAUUGCUGCUAAUACCGGAUGAUAUCGCGAGAUCAAAGAUUUAUCGCCUGAGGAUGAGCCCGCGUAGGAUUAGCUAGUUGGUGUGGUAAAGGCGCACCAAGGCGACGAUCCUUAGCUGGUCUGAGAGGAUGAUCAGCCACACUGGGACUGAGACACGGCCCAGACUCCUACGGGAGGCAGCAGUGGGGAAUAUUGGACAAUGGGCGAAAGCCUGAUCCAGCAAUGCCGCGUGAAUGAUGAAGGCCUUAGGGUUGUAAAGCUCUUUUACCCGGGAUGAUAAUGACAGUACCGGGAGGAUAAGCUCCGGCUAACUCCGUGCCAGCCGCCGCAGUAA
rnacentral:rRNA from 1 species